UACGUACCGGACGAACGUUAUUCGGAAUUACUGGGCUUAAAGAGUGCGUAGGCGGCUCAUCAGGUGGGGUGUGAAAUCCCACGGCUCAACCGUGGAAUUGCGCUCCAAACCGAUGAGCUUGAGGAAGACAGGGGUGAGCGGAACUGAUGGUGGAGCGGUGAAAUGCGUUGAUAUCAUCAGGAACACCGGUGGCGAAGGCGGCUCACUGGGUCUUCUCUGACGCUGAGGCACGAAAGCUAGGGUAGCGAACGGG
rnacentral:rRNA from 1 species